UGUUGAUUAAAGAUGAUUCUUACGUGU
rnacentral:piRNA from 1 species